rnacentral:tRNA from 1 species
GGAUCGGUGGUGUAGUGGUAACACAUUGCGUUUGAACGUGAAAAGGUAUGGUUCGAUUCCUUCCCGGUCCG